ensembl:snRNA U1 U1 spliceosomal RNA
AUACUUACCUGGCAGGGGAGAUACCAUGAUCAAGUAGGUGGUUUUCCCAGGGCGAGGCCCACCCAUUGCACUUGGGGUGUGCUGACCCCUGCGAUUUCCCCAAAUGCGGGAAACUCGACUGCAUAAUUUGUGUUAGUGGGGGACUGCGUUCGCGCUCUCCCCUG